GACUAGCCUGCAGGCUGGCUGGGACACAGGUUACACUGAGACAGAGCUUUGGAAAGAGCUGUGUAUCAAAAUAAUGGCCUAAGAUGUCAAUGAGGGACUCAUGUCCUUUCAGGAUUGUUGUGGGAAUAAAAUGAUCUCACUGAUGAGAAAAUACUUGAAAAAAAGAAACCCAAGUUCAACAUGUCAUAGGAUUAUUCUUACUAUCAAAUGAGUCGGGGCUGGCCUAGAGCAACUCCCGCUUGUACAGAUGGAGAAGUUCAGAGGGAGAACCUUUGUACAAAGUAAACCACAAAAGAAAAAA
rnacentral:lncRNA from 1 species